rfam:Bombyx mori DNA, contig: Bm_scaf1_contig1420, strain: p50T/Dazao, build 2, whole genome shotgun sequence.
UCUUUAUUGUAUAGACAUUGACAAAAUUGGAACGAUACAGAGAAGAUUAGCAUGGCCCCUGCGCAAGGAUGACACGCAAAAUCGUGAAGCAUUCCACAUUUUU